AGAUCCUCAGCCCCGAAGUACUACAUCUCUUACCUCUUCAUCUGUCCUCACCUGUCACCAGCAUCAGGUCACCAGGAACCAGACCAUCACGCUGUCAUAGCCUCGGGUGUGUGUUGAAUUGUCAUCCUGUCAGUCGCGCCUCUAAGCCAAACCUCUUCGCCUGCCUGUUUACACGAAGGU